rnacentral:rRNA from 1 species
UACAGAGGUCUCGAGCGUUAGGCGGAAUCACUGGGCGUAAAGCGCACGUAGGCGGAUUGCUAAGUCAGGGGUGAAAUCCUGGAGCUCAACUCCAGAACUGCCUUUGAUACUGAAGAUCUUGAGUUCGGGAGAGGUGAGUGGAACUGCGAGUGUAGAGGUGAAAUUCGUAGAUAUUCGCAAGAACACCAGUGGCGAAGGCGGCUCACUGGCCCGAUACUGACGCUGAGGCACGAAAGCGUGGGGAGCAAACAGGG